rnacentral:rRNA from 1 species
AUUGAACGCUGGCGGCAUGCUUUACACAUGCAAGUCGAACGGUAACAGGCCGCAAGGUGCUGACGAGUGGCGAACGGGUGAGUAAUGCAUCGGAACGUGCCCAGUCGUGGGGGAUAACGCAGCGAAAGCUGUGCUAAUACCGCAUACGAUCUGUGGAUGAAAGCGGGGGACCGUAAGGCCUCGCGCGAUUGGAGCGGCCGAUGGCAGAUUAGGUAGUUGGUGGGGUAAAGGCUCACCAAGCCGACGAUCUGUAGCUGGUCUGAGAGGACGACCAGCCACACUGGGACUGAGACACGGCCCAGACUCCUACGGGAGGCAGCAGUGGGGAAUUUUGGACAAUGGGCGCAAGCCUGAUCCAGCAAUGCCGCGUGCAGGAAGAAGGCCUUCGGGUUGUAAACUGCUUUUGUACGGAGCGAAAAGGCUCUCUCUAAUACAGGGGGCUCAUGACGGUACCGUAAGAAUAAGCACCGGCUAACUACGUGCCAGCAGCCGCAGUAACAC